GGUCGCUUAGCUCAGUUGGUUAGAGCGUGGUGCUAAUAAAUCCAGGCUAGGAGCCCUGCUCCUACAAAGGAUCUCAGUUAACGCCAAGGUCGCGAGUUCGACCCUCGUAGUGACCA
rnacentral:tRNA from 3 species